AUUGAACGCUGGCGGCAUGCCUUACACAUGCAAGUCGAACGGUAACGGGCCUUCGGGUGCCGACGAGUGUCGAACGGGGGCGUAAUACAUCGGAACGUGCCCGAUCGUGGGGGAUAACGAGGCGAAAGCUUUGCUAAUACCGCAUACGAGCUACGGAUGAGAGCAGGGGACCGCAAGGCCGAGCGCGGACGGAGCGGCCGAUGGCGUAUUAGGUAGUUGGGUGGUUAAAAGCUUACCAAGCCGAAGAUCUGUAGCUGGUCUGCGAGGAUGAUCAGCCACACUGGGACUUAGACACGGCCCAGACUCCUAAGGGAGGGAGCAGUCGGGGAUCUUGAACAACGGGCGCAAGCCUGAUCCAACCAUCGCGCGUGCAGGAAGCAGGCCUUCGGGUUGUAAACUGCUUUUGUACGGAACGAAAAGCCUUCUUUUAAUACAGGAGGGUCAUGACGGUACCGUAAGAAUAAGCACCGGCUAACUACGUG
rnacentral:rRNA from 1 species